UGCAGUCGUACGCUUCUUUUUCCACCGGAGCUUGCUCCACCGGAAAAAGAAGAGUGGCGAACGGGUGAGUAACACGUGGGUAACCUGCCCAUCAGAAGGGGAUAACACUUGGAAACAGGUGCUAAUACCGUAUAACAAUCGAAACCGCAUGGUUUUGAUUUGAAAGGCGCUUUCGGGUGUCGCUGAUGGAUGGACCCGCGGUGCAUUAGCUAGUUGGUGAGGUAACGGCUCACCAAGGCCACGAUGCAUAGCCGACCUGAGAGGGUGAUCGGCCACAUUGGGACUGAGACACGGCCCAAACUCCUACGGGAGGCAGCAGUAGGGAAUCUUCGGCAAUGGACGAAAGUCUGACCGAGCAACGCCGCGUGAGUGAAGAAGGUUUUCGGAUCGUAAAACUCUGUUGUUAGAGAAGAACAAGGAUGAGAGUAACUGUUCAUCCCUUGACGGUAUCUAACCAGAAAGCCACGGCUAACUACGUGCCAGCAGCCGCGGUAAUACGUAGGUGGCAAGCGUUGUCCGGAUUUAUUGGGCGUAAAGCGAGCGCAGGCGGUUUCUUAAGUCUGAUGUGAAAGCCCCCGGCUCAACCGGGGAGGGUCAUUGGAAACUGGGAGACUUGAGUGCAGAAGAGGAGAGUGGAAUUCCAUGUGUAGCGGUGAAAUGCGUAGAUAUAUGGAGGAACACCAGUGGCGAAGGCGGCUCUCUGGUCUGUAACUGACGCUGAGGCUCGAAAGCGUGGGGAGCAAACAGGAUUAGAUACCCUGGUAGUCCACGCCGUAAACGAUGAGUGCUAAGUGUUGGAGGGUUUCCGCCCUUCAGUGCUGCAGCUAACGCAUUAAGCACUCCGCCUGGGGAGUACGACCGCAAGGUUGAAACUCAAAGGAAUUGACGGGGGCCCGCACAAGCGGUGGAGCAUGUGGUUUAAUUCGAAGCAACGCGAAGAACCUUACCAGGUCUUGACAUCCUUUGACCACUCUAGAGAUAGAGCUUCCCCUUC
rnacentral:rRNA from 1 species